rnacentral:lncRNA from 1 species
CUCUUUUUAACAUGAGGCCUCCUCUGCCUCCCCACGGUUACUGAAUUAUUUUCUCCCUCCUUCCUCUUGGAGAAACCACCCUCAUACUUCUUGCUAGACGAUGUUUCUUCUUUAGACAGACGUCCUUCACUGACUCCUUCUUUUAACCUCGUCCUCAUGUUUACCGUUUCGUAAUAAAACAAACUCAGCGUUUUCAAGAAGAUCUU